rnacentral:rRNA from 1 species
UACGGAAGGGGCAAGCGUUGUUCGGAAUCAUUGGGCGUAAAGGGCGCGCAGGCGGUACGGCACGUCCGUUGUGAAAUCGCCCGGCUCAACUGGGCGGGGUCAGCGGAUACGGCCGCACUUGAGCAAGCUAGGGGGCAAUGGAAUUCCCGGUGUAGUGGUGGAAUGCGUAGAUAUCGGGAGGAACACCAGUGGCGAAGGCGGUUGCCUGGAGCUUUGCUGACGCUGAGGCGCGGAAAGCGUGGGGAGCGAUCCGG